AAAUAUAAUUUCUUUUGGUGUAAAGAUACAGUGAUUCAGCUGUCUCUGUAAUUCUUUGCAAGAAGCUCAGAGUUCACUAGCUGCUAAGGGCAGGAUUUAAAUACAGAACACAAACAACAGACCAUCUUGGAAGUUUUUGUUUGAAAUAAUAUAAGCAGUACGUAAUUUGGAAAAGUGGAUGCUUGGAUAAUCAGAGGGGGAAAUACUUAAACAAAGCAUAUUUAACAGUUAAGAUAGUAAAAGUGAGGUACACAAAGACUGAGUUCUUGCUUGCCCAUGGUUACAGAGUUCAAAGUUAAGAUCGAAGCAGAAAACAUAAUAAUGCUGAACUUAUCUCAAUGAUCUAUGAAAUAUAUUUAAGAUUUGUGGCUGGAUAAAAGAGACAUUUUCCUCUCCAAGCUAAUGGUAACAGGUGAAAUGAGGACAAAUGGAGAUCAGGAAAAUAAAGGCAAGUUUUUCAACAA